rnacentral:rRNA from 2 species
GCUUGCUUCCCGCUGACGAGCGGCGGACGGGUGAGUAAUGCUUAGGAAUCUGCCCAGUAGUGGGGGAUAGCCCGGGGAAACCCGGAUUAAUACCGCAUACGUCCUACGGGAGAAAGCAGGGGAUCUUYGGACCUUGCGCUAUUGGAUGAGCCUAAGUCGGAUUAGCUAGUUGGUGGGGUAAAGGCCUACCAAGGCGACGAUCCGUAGCUGGUCUGAGAGGAUGAUCAGCCACAUCGGGACUGAGACACGGCCCGAACUCCUACGGGAGGCAGCAGUGGGGAAUAUUGGACAAUGGGGGCAACCCUGAUCCAGCCAUGCCGCGUGUGUGAAGAAGGCUUUCGGGUUGUAAAGCACUUUCAGUAGGGAGGAAAACCUUAUGGCUAAUACCCAUAAGGCUUGACGUUACCUACAGAAGAAGCACCGGCUAACUCCGUGCCAGCAGCCGCGGUAAUACGGAGGGUGCAAGCGUUAAUCGGAAUUACUGGGCGUAA